UACAGAGGUCUCAAGCGUUGUCCGGAUUCAUUGGGCGUAAAGAGCUCGUAGGCGGUCUGUCGCGUCUGCUGUGAAAACUCGGGGCUUAACCCCGGGCCUGCAGUGGGUACGGGCAGACUAGAGUGCGGUAGGGGAGACUGGAAUUCCUGGUGUAGCGGUGAAAUGCGCAGAUAUCAGGAGGAACACCAAUAGCGAAGGCAGCUCGCUGGGACGGUACUGACGCUAAGGCGCGAAAGCGUGGGGAGCGAACAGG
rnacentral:rRNA from 1 species